GAAAUAUCGUCGUAUUGAUAUACAAAACCUUUUGAUAGUUGAAAAUAGACAAAGGUUAAGCACAGAAAUAACCGGGGGCUAAUAAAAGGCAGGGCUGAAUAAAGCGACAAUGGCGCAACUAGGCGAGCUGGCACAUCCGGGAAGGCGGUCGUGUCAAGGUCACGGCCUGUGGAUCGAUGCAGCCCAUGCCCGUGCUAUCCCCGCCGCGCCGCCCUGCCUCCGCGCCGCCCCGCUCGCAACGCCCCAAUACAUUUUCGUGGAGGCAACGAGCUUACAAUAGGAAGUGCUAAUGGCAAGUGGUCUGCCGUCGCGGCGUCGCCAAGGACACUUGCAACACGAGGGUUACUAAUGCAUUGUAGCCUUUUAGAGAUUUGACUUUGACACU